rnacentral:rRNA from 1 species
CCUACGGGAGGCAGCAGUGAGGAAUAUUGGUCAAUGGGCGCUAGCCUGAACCAGCCAAGUAGCGUGAAGGAUGACUGCCCUAUGGGUUGUAAACUUCUUUUAUAUGGGAAUAAAGUGCAGUAUGUAUACUGCUUUGCAUGUACCUUAUGAAUAAGGAUCGGCUAACUCCGUGCCAGCAGCCGCGGUAAUACGGAGGAUCCGAGCGUUAUCCGGAUUUAUUGGGUUUAAAGGGAGCGUAGGCGGGUUGUUAAGUCAGUUGUGAAAGUUUGCGGCUCAACCGUAAAAUUGCAGUUGAUACUGGCAGCCUUGAGUACAGUAGAGGUAGGCGGAAUUCGUGGUGUAGCGGUGAAAUGCUUAGAUAUCGCGAAGAACUCCGAUUGCGAAGGCAGCCUGCUGGACUGUAACUGACGCUGAUGCUCGAAAGUGUGGGUAUCAAACAGGAUUAGAUACCCCAGUAGUC